UACGGGGGGGGCAAGCGUUGUUCGGAAUUACUGGGCGUAAAGGGCUCGUAGGCGGCCAACUAAGUCCGACGUGAAAUCCCCGGGCUCAACCUGGGAACUGCGUCCGAUACUGGAAGGCUUGAAUCCGGGAGAGGGAUGCGGAAUUCCAGGUGUAGCGGUGAAAUGCGUAGAUAUCGGAAGGAACACCUGUGGCGAAAGCGGCUCACUGGACCAUAACUGACGCUGAUGCACGAAAGCUAGGGGAGCAAACAGG
rnacentral:rRNA from 1 species